rnacentral:tRNA from 1 species
GGAUUCGUGCCUGAAAAAAGGAUCACUUUGAUAGGGUGACUUAUGGGGGUUAAAGUCCCCCCGACUCCU